UCUGUAAAGCUUUUCACUCUUUUGAAACUUGAUUUAUAAAAUUUCAUUUGUGUUUUUUGACGUUUUUAACAGAAAAUGUUGUUCUAAUUUGUUUUUAUUCUUACUACUUUCUUACUAUUUUAUGCCCAUUUUUUGAAAGAAACAUUUAUAGAAUAUUUAAAUUUUAUUUCUGGGAUUAUUAAACAUUACUAUGAUAACAAGAUUUUUUUAAUGCAAUUAUUUGCUAUGCUUCUGAAGCAAAUAAAGAAAACUGAAGAUUAAAGAUUUGGAUUUGAGCAUACCUAAGAAUCCAUUUAAUUAGUGGGUCUUCAAUAUAACUAUUAAACAGAGUUAAUAUUAUGAAAUCUUAAAUCCAUGCUAAUUUUGAAACAACGUAUUAUCCCACAGAGGCAAGUUACUUUCAUAUGUAAUUUGAUUCAGAAUUCUAACUGAAGUUAUCAUAAGAUUUUUUAUCUCGAUAUUUACUUCUAUCUAUAAAAAAUUAAAAUAAUUUUGACUAUUAAUUUUAUUUUAAAUCCAUGCUUUCUGUAAAAGAUAGCUUAUUUUUGAAUAAUUUUCUGUUGAAUAGAAGCAAUGUAUAACAAGAUUUAGUCUUUUUUUUGGCCUUGUCUGAAUCAUUUUAGUCCAACUGCUCUAAUAGUCAUUCACUUUUUAAAAAGCCAACAUGAACAUUAAGUUGUCUGAAUAUGCUUUAUAUGAAAAGGUCUCCAUUUCACAUGGUCUUGAAAAUUAUAUACAAAUGUGAAUUUAUGCCUUGUGGUCUUAGAAAUUAUAUACAAGUAUAUGUGUGUUAAUGAUGAUUCUUUACAAAUCUAUACUAUAAAAAAACUUUCAGGAGACUGAGGCAAGAGAAUGGCGUGAACCCGGGAGGCGGAGCUUGCAGUGAGCCGAGAUCGCGCCACUGCACUCCAGCCUGGGCGACAGAGCGAGACUCCAUCUCAAAAAACAAAAAACAACUUUCUGGGAACUUUUAUGCAAAAAAAUUAUAACAUAAUUAUUUUGUUAAACUUUGGCACACAAAACAUUGUUUACUCAUACAAAGUAAUCAAUGCAGGAAAAUUUUACUUAUAUAUUGUGUUUCUUAAGAUAAAUACUGAAUUAGGACUUAAAAGGCAGCUAUUUUCCAUCACUGUUAGUUUAACAAUCUUAAUUUCAUCUUAAGAUUUCAAGAUCUCAUUUUGCAGUUGAAAGUUACCAUUAUUGUUUUAUUAAUUGUAAGGUGGUUAUAUUUCACUACAGAGAAAAAAAGGUAUCAAGUAAUUAGGCCAGCAUGGUAAAUGAUUAAAUUUGCAAAUGCCUAUUGUUUUCUCUCUCUGUUCAUUUGAGUAUAGUUAUUUGGGAGUAAUUACUAUUAUAUUCUAUGCAUUGUGUGGUCUAAUGUUACUAUUUAUAUGCCCAUUUUUCAAAAGAAACAUAUUUUAUAGAAUAUUUAAAUUAUAUUUCUGGGAUUAUUAAACAUUACCAGGCUAACAAGAUUUUUUUUAAAUGCAAUUAUUUGCUAUGCUUCUGAAGCAAAUAAAGAAAACUGAAGAUUAAAGAUUUGGAUUUGAGCAUACCUAAGAAUCCAUUUUAAGUACUUUUGAUUAGCUAUUUUAGAGAUGAAUGUUAUGUUUUAUGUAUAAUCUCAGCAAGCCUGGAUGGUAAAAUGGUUUUACAUAAUCAAUAUCAGUAUAGUUUAAAGUAAUUUUCUAUCUUAAGGUAUAUGACCCCAGUGGUCAGAAUUUAGUGCUAAAAAGGCCAAUAUUUGAGGCCAAGCUUAUCUCUUUAAUCGGAUGUUCUCAAGCAAGAGACUGGCUCUUCUGUUGACAAGUAAUUUCUUAUUUUAUAAUGUGGGUAGUAAUUGACUGAGUUGUUUGUUAAAGAUAUGUCCCUAGAUCCUCCUUAUUUAGCAGUCCUGAUGCAGUAUAUAUAACAUCUGAACUUAUACACUUGAUAUAAAAGGGUUACCAUUUUUGAGAACCACAGAGAUAGGUAGUUCAUUACUCUCAAAGUAUAGAAAAUUUAAAUAUACUUCAAGCAAGAGACAAGAAUCAUGGAAAAAUGGUUACAUUUCUGUAGGAGAUAAACAUACAUAAUAUGUUAAAAUUAUUUUCUAUAUUUCUGGAGUUAGGCGGGCCCCAGUGAUUAAGGUAGUUUAAGUGUGCUUGUUACAUUAAGAAGGAAAUUUAUCUUUGGUGCACUAGUGUAUUUUACUUAUGUGCUUGACUGUAAGACCAUCUUUCAAAAGCAAGGUUUAAUUAAGAGAUUAUUGCAAGCCUGAGUUUUGAUAUAUUAGUCAGAUAUAAAUCACAUCAUAGGAAGAUAUUAUUAUAAUAUUAUAAUAGCUCUCUUAGAAUGGAGGAAAUUUUACUAUACAGUGUACUUGCCCAAGUCAGGAUCUAAACCCAGGUAUCUCUACAUCCCUAGAGCUCAAAUUCUUUUUAUUAAUAUAUAAUGUCUCUUUAGAAUACACCUGCCUCUUUAGAAUACAAUUUUCUUGUAAAAAUUGUUCGCUGAUUUUGUCCUGUUUUGUCAUCAGCUGAUCCCCCUUGUUCAUACAGUAGCAUCUUAUUUACUAUAGAUUCAUUUCUUAGAUGAUACCCUUCCUUUUGACCUCUAAUAGGAUUAGAGUUAACUUUAAUCCUAUUCCCUUUUCUACCCUUUUGACACCUUUUCCUACUUCUAUAAUAUUUAUUGACUGACAGAAAAUGUUAAUCAUAGCAGUAUGAAAAGUAGGAUACAUGUUGAUAUCAUAUUUCUUACCUAAAAUAGCAUUAUGUAUUAUACAAACAUAUAGAAAUUAUUAUAAUAAUUUACUGUCUAUAUACAUCAUCCAUACCUUGUUUAAUUUAAUCUUCACAGCAAAUUGUCCUAUAAGAAUACCAUUUAACAUGCAAAGGUUUGAAGUUCUUUUGGAGGUACUAGAUAUUCUACCCAAAUGUUUUAUACAUAUUAUUUUUGUGUUUGCAAACUUCUAGGACAGUAUUAUCAUCCCCUUUUUCCAGAUGAAAAUACUAAGGUUCAGAAAAAUUAAAUACUUUUCCCAGGAGUUAAAAGCCAGUAGGUGACAGAUACAGAGGAUUCUGUGUAACUCCAAAAUCAUUUCUACCACACUGAGAGAAAAAAAUGCCUAGGUAUGAUUAUUUUUUGUGACCCCAAUUAAAUGAGAAAAACUUAGCAGCGGUAUCUUUACAAAGAUGCUUUGACUCAUGAGUUUGCCUCAGAAUAGCUCAAGAGCACGAAAGUCAGGCAACAGCAUGUUAGGCAGUGUCUACUAUGGGCAAUGAGACAUACAGCAUUUUAGCCUAACUAGAAUAAAAAUAAAUGCAUUGGUUUUUAGCAGUGGAUUACAUGUAGUGAAGGAAAAGCACUCCAUAAAUCAGAAAUGAAUUCAGGGCAUAUUACCUAGGAGUGAUUGCAGACUGACAAGACAUCUCAUGGGAGGAGAGGCUGUUGAUAAGGCAAGAUUAUUUUCAAGACUGUCUUUUCCUAUAGAAAGUAAUUCCCAGGACAAAAACUUCCAUCCAAGAAAUCUGACUUUGAUUGUUUAUCUGCAGUAUGACUUACUGAGCAAAUAUUAUUAAAAGGUUAUUCAUACUUCAGAUUGCUUUUCACUAUCACAAGACUACAUUGUCUGAACUUUACACACUUUGAUUCAACAAAAGUUUUGAAUCAUGCUGUUAUGGCUUCAACUUUUACUGAAACUUCUGUAGAACUAAUAAGAGUUGGAUUGGAAAAAUUAAAUUUAACUUUUUCCUUGAACUGGCAUGCAUGCUUGUUGUAAAUUUUUAAAAAUAUACCAUUAUAACAACCAUAGAUUGGUUUUAAUCUAGGGGCUGGGCAAACAUCACUGUAGCGUAGUGGCUAAAGAUACACUUAAAUCUAGCCUUUCUGCAUAGGAUCCAUGUGACUGAGCACUACUUGCUGAAUCUUUCUGCACCUCAAUUUUUUUUAACCUGUUAAGUGUGAUAACAGCACCUAUCUUAUAAGGGUCUCUUGAGAAUUGUUUGGCAUAUAAAGCACCAAGAAGAGUAUCUGGAGCAUAGAAGCAUCCCAAAAAGAUGAGCUAUUAUUCACAGUACCAGUGCCAAAGCUUGAAUCCGACUCUGUCUAAUUCAAAAGCCCUGGCCUUCAGCUGCCCAAUGCACUGCUUCUAGAGGGGAGGUUAAGUUUGUAUCCAUUACUAAUACAAAUGCAUAUAUAUAUAUAUAUAUGUAUGUAUAUGUAUAUACAAUACAUACAUAAGCAUAUAUGUAUGUGUAUAUAUACAACAGUCCCAAAUUUUAUAAAGAAAUUUGAGAAACAACAAAAGUUUCACAAGGGGAAAUAUAUUUUCUGUUGUACUUAGCAUAAUGUUUAUUUAUAAGUAGAUUGUAUCAUGCAAAAAAAUUUCAUAAACCCACUUACUUCAAUUUCUGGUAACUUCUCUUCUUUAUUAUGGUAAAACUCCUCAAACUUGUAUUACACCCAUUAUAUACAUUUCUUCUCCUUCAAUUCUCUCCGUAUCCAUUCAUUAGGUUUCUUUCUCAAAUGCCCUGCCUGAACUGCUCUUAUUAAAGUAAACAAUGACCUUCAUAUGGUUAAAUCCCAUGCCUAAUUCUCUCCUCUCAUCUUGCUAGACAUAUGGGUGUUAUUAGACACAAUCGCCUUUGCCAGAAGUAUUCCAGGGCCAAAUUCUUGAAACUCUUCUCCUUCCUCCUUAUAGCCUCUCCUUUGGUCAUAAGAUCCAACAUAAUGGUUUUAAUUACAUUCUAUAUACAGACUCUUUUCUGAAUUUAUGUCUCAACCCAGAACCUAUGCAUGAACCCCAGAUUCCUGUAACCAAGUGUCUACUCAUUGAGUAGAAACUCAUCCUCUUAUUAGUACAGAAAAAGGAAAGUUAAAAAAAAAUUAAGCCUUGCUAUUAUCCUUGGCUCAGGUUCUCUCAUACCUUACAUUAUCAUUGCCUGCCAACUUCUGCAGUGGCUUCCUACCUGGUGUCCCUGGUCCCACCUCCAGGUACUGGUCAGAGAGUAAUAAAUAUCAUUGUCAUAAACCCUGACCUCUUGAAACAUGUAUUUCAUUGACAUAUAAGAUUCAUACUCACUCUGCAAUUACACAAAGUAAUGGAAUAGGAGGUAAAAGUCAGCAAAGAGGAUAUUUUGAGAAAGCCAUCUUGGUUUGAAAGUUCUUAAUUUAUAAUAGCUAGAAAAAUAAGAAGACUUCAAUUUGUAGAAUCACUUGCAUUUUUCCAAGUGAGAAGUUAGAACACCUCUCUAGAUAUGUUGGUUUCUCUUGAAUGGACUAGUUUUUGAGAUUAUUAUAAAAUUAUCUGUUAUUUUGACAUUAUGCUUAUACCAUUAACAUUAAUACAGUGUGCCCAUUUAAAUAAGUAUUACUUUAAAUCUAAGGCACUCUUGAAAUUUAAAAAAAAAAAAGAUGUUUAACUAUAUGUUCUUUUUUUUAUUUUUCCUAAUUAAUCAACUUAUUUAACAAACAGUAAAGGAAGAAAGUCAUUAGAUUAUCACAAAUGGCAAGCACUAAGAACGUACUUCUUUCCUUAACCCUUAAGGUGAAGUCUUCAGAAAUUAUGUUUAAGCAAUAUGAAUCAUAGUUAGUUUAAUGAGUCAUUUAUUCCUGCAAUUAGGUGGAGAGGAAAAGCAGAAAGAAAGGAGUCAUUUAAAGGUCAUUAUUUACCAACUUUUCAUUUUUCAGUAUAGCCUCACACACACCCACAUCCGACCCUUAUCUACCUUAGAGUUCUUCUAUCAGUAGAAAUUAUUUGUAAUCAGAAGUAGCUCAGCCUGAUUCAUCAAAAAGGAAGGGAUUGCAAUAAUUUUUAAAAGGAGAUUUCAGAGUUUAUGCUGUCAAUCUCCCAGCAUCAGCUUCUUCUAAAUAGUCUCCAGCUAUUUGUAAUACUUUACUCAUAGCUUUUGGACAUGCAUUUGUUAUCAAAGGCAGAGUAAAACUUGCUUCCUGGGGCCUAUUUUUCCUUGCCAGCAUCACAGUCUUACACCACACAGUUAUGAAUAUAUUCUUCCUCAGUUAUACUUUUAUUUAUGUCCUCUAGACAUUCUGGGUAAUUAUGCUGGAAGGAACCAGAAAAAAAAAAAGACUAUUACAAGUAUCAUGUACAAAACAUAAAAGUAAAUCCACACAAGAUAAUGUGUUUUAUAUACCCUGUUAUAGAUACAGUGGGAAUCAACUUCACUCACAGCAACUUUGGAUUGGCUUUUCAUCUUUAUUUGGUGGCAAUUUGUAAUAAUAAAGCAACAGAAUGUCUUCAUGUAUUUUAUCAUUCUAUCUCUUAAUUGAAACAUUUCUGCUAUUUUAUUUUUAAAUAAGCCAGAAUGGAAGGCAUUGUAGUAAUACUUUUUCAGUUAUGUAAAAAGAAAGCACUUUAACCACAGCAGAUAUAGCAUUCUUAGUACUGUGAAUUAGUAAUCGUUUUAAAAUAUGUAAAUCAUAUUGUAUUUUAUUGGUGGGUUAUUCUUUUGUUGUUGCCCUUAGUACAGUAGUAAACUUCUUGAAUUAUUGUUCAACCCUUUGGAGAUAUUGAAUAAAUGUACAUAUUCUUCUAGGCAUUCAUUUAGUUGCCAGUCUGAAAAUAUUGUUUGAAAAGCCCUAGAAUUAACCACUUCUCCAAAACGCCCUGAUUCCUUCCAUUGAAGACCGAUAUUUAAAACCAAGAUCUGGAUACUAGUUAUACUCAUUGCUACUGGGGUAUCACUGUUUAUAUGCCCUCUUAAGAGUACAGAGCAAAAAAUAUGUGUGUAUACUAACCCAUUUAUCUGCACACAUCUAUAUUUACUUUUGUACAUGUGUAUGCAUAUAUGUUUGCAUGUAUGCAUGUCUCCAUCUACCUUCCUACUUAUCGAUUUCUCUGUCUCUAUCCAUACAUCUAUCUACCAUCUAUCUUCAUACUAAUACCUCCAAUCUAAUCAACAACACCGUUCUAACCUUCACCAUUAUUUGUUACUUCUUUCUCAGACAGUGAAAACUAAGACUAUCAAUAUCUGAAACCUGUUUGCUUAUUUGUUUAACCCUACCAUACAUGUAGUUUAAAACUUGCUAAGCCAUUACUCUGUGAGAAACAACUUUACCAAGAGGAGUACAUUGUUUGGAUUAUUUUUAUUUUUAGCUUUACAGUUCAGUCAAAACACUAUUUUCUAAAGUUACUUAGGGCACAUCCCCUCUCUCCACUGAGCUUAUUGUGGUUAUGAGAUUUAUUUGUUAUAUAAAUAGAUAAAUUUGCUACAAACUGCAUUUUCUGUUGGGUUUUCCAUACAUCUUUGUUGAUUUUGUUAAACUUACAUUUAACAAAAUGUGCUUUUUGUGGUAUACAAUUUUAUGAUUUAAGUCAUGUAUCCAAUGCCACAUUUCCUUAUAGAAGACUUCCAUUAUCCAAAAAUUCCACCACACUGCCUGCCUGUAGUCAGCUACCGACCCCAAACUCCAAACUCUGGCAAAUAUUGCACUGUUUGCUGCUGCUAUAGUUUCACCUUCUCCAGAAUGUCAUGGGAACAGAGUCAUAAACUAUUGAACCUUUUGGACAUGGCUUCCUCCGCUUAGUAGAAACAUUUAACCCUAAUUCAUAUUGUAUUAAUCAUUAGUUCUGCCAUUUUAUUGCUGAGUCACUGUCUCUUGUAUGGAUGUACCACAAUUUGUUUAUCUGUUCACAGUUUGAAUGGAUAAACUGUGAAUGGAUGAACUGUGGGUUGUUUCAGGAUUUAGUGAUUAUAAAUAAAGCUGCUCUAAACAUAUCAA